GACGAACGCUGGCGGCGUGCUUAACACAUGCAAGUCGAACGGAAAGGCCCUGCUUUUGUGGGGUGCUCGAGUGGCGAACGGGUGAGUAACACGUGAGUAACCUGCCCUUGACUUUGGGAUAACUUCAGGAAACUGGGGCUAAUACCGGAUAGGAGCUCCUGCUGCAUGGUGGGGGUUGGAAAGUUUCGGCGGUUGGGGAUGGACUCGCGGCUUAUCAGCUUGUUGGUGGGGUAGUGGCUUACCAAGGCUUUGACGGGUAGCCGGCCUGAGAGGGUGACCGGCCACAUGGGGACUGAGAUACGGCCCAGACUCGUACGGGAGGCAGCAGUGGGGAAUAUUGCACAAUGGGCGGAAGCCUGAUGCAGCAACGCCGCGUGCGGGAUGACGGCCUUCGGGUUGUAAACCGCUUUCGCCUGUGACGAAGCGUGAGUGACGGUAAUGGGUAAAGAAGCACCGGCUAACUACGUG
rnacentral:rRNA from 1 species